rnacentral:rRNA from 1 species
AGCAGCCGCGGUAAUUCCAGCUCCAAUAGCGUAUAUUAAAGUUGUUGCAGUUAAAAAGCUCGUAGUUGAAUUUCGGGGUUCUACCGUUGGUCGGGCUUUGUCUGUACUGGCGUGUAGAAUUUCUACCUUCUGGGGAACCAUCAUGUUAUUAAUUUAACGUGGUGGGAAACCAGGACCUUUACCUUGAAAAAAUUAGAGUGUUCAAAGCAGGCUUAUGUCUGAAUACAUUAGCAUGGAAUAAUAAAAUAGGACGGUGGUCCUGUUUUGUUGGUUUCUGAAUCACCGUAAUGAUUAAUAGGGAUAGUUGGGGGCACUAGUAUUCAAUUGUCAGAGGUGAAAUUCUUGGAUUUAU